rnacentral:rRNA from 1 species
UACAGAGGAGCCAAGCGUUGUCCGGAUUGACUGGGCGUAAAGCGCACGCAGGCGGCACCGUGCGUGGGGUGUGAAAUCUGGCCGCUUAACGGCCAGGCGCCAUCCCAUACGGCGGAGCUAGAGUGAUGCAGAGGUCGGUGGAAUUGCCGGUGUAGUGGUGAAAUGCGUAGAGAUCAGCAGGAACACCCGUGGCGAAGGCGGCCCCCUGGGCCGUACCUGACGCUGAGGCGCGAAGGCUAGGGGAGCGAACGGG